CGAGAAGAAAAAUACUUGGGUUAUCAUUAAACUUUAAGUGCCUGGGCAACAACACAUUUUUUAAUACUUUUUGAACUUCGCUUGUCAGCCAGCCAGCGAGCCAGUGCUGGGCAAUGCAUUCCUUUAAUGCACCAGCAACAAAGUGGCGGAGACAACUGCACUUCUCCAUUAGGUGGAUGGAGUGAAGAAAU
rnacentral:sRNA from 1 species